CAAAAAGAUGAAAAAAAAAUCUCCUGUAUAUUGUCGUUGAUAUUGAUUGACCUUGUCGACUGUCAUACAAGUGAGGGGUUUAGCUAGCUAUAAAACCAGGUUAAAUCCACCAUUCUACAACUGAAAACACAUGUACUAUGUGUACCAAGUCAGGAAUAUUACAGUUGUAAUUCAUUCGAUUCAUUGAUUUUGUUAUUUGGUUAGGGGGCC
rnacentral:lncRNA from 1 species